GGCACUGUAGCUUAGAGGGUCAAAGCGUCAGUUUUGUAAACUGAAGAUUCUGGGUUCAAAUCCCAGCGGUACCU